rnacentral:rRNA from 1 species
CUGCCGGACCCGACUGUUAUCGGGGUAGGACUAAGCCAUGCGAGUCGAACGCCCUUCAACCAUGUGGAGGACGUGGCGUACGGCUCAGUAACACGUAGUUAACCUAACCUGAAGAUGAGGAUAACCCCGGGAAACUGGGACUAACACUUGAUGGGUCACGGCACCUGGAAUGGGCCGUGGCCGAAAAGGUGGAUGGGCAUGUUUGUCCACCUGCUCCAGGAUGGGACUGCGGCCGAUCAGGCUGUUGGUGGGGUAAAGGCCCACCAAACCUGUGACCGGUACGGGCUUUGAGAGAAGGAGCCCGGAGAUGGACACUGAGAAAAGGGUCCAGGCCCUACGGGGCGCAGCAGGCGCGAAAACUUCGCAAUGCGCGAAAGCGCGACGAGGUUACCCCGAGUGUCGCCCGCUGAGGGCGUCUUUUGCUAGGUCUAAAUAGCCUGGAGAAUAAGGGGAGGGCAAGUCUGGUGUCAGCCGCCGCGGUAAGACCAGCUCCCCGAAUGGUCGGGACGAUUGUUGGGCCUAAAGCAUCCGUAGCUGGCUCUAUAGGUCCCCUGUUAAAUUCAGCGGCUCAACCGCUGAGCUGCAGAGGAUACCGUAGGGCUAGGAGGCGGGAGAGGCGGACGGUAUUCCAUGGGUAGGGGUAAAAUCCACUGAUCCAUGGAGGACCACCAGUGGCGAAGGCGGUCCGCCAGAACGCGCUCGACGGUGAGGGAUGAAAGCUGGGGGAGCGAACCGGAUUAGAUACCCGGGUAGUCCCAGCUGUAAACGAUGCGAGCUAGGUGAUGGGACGGCUAUGCGCCAUCCCAGUGCCGCAGGGAAGCCGUUAAGCUCGCCGCCUGGGGAGUACGGCCGCAAGGCUGAAACUUAAAGGAAUUGGCGGGGGAGCACCACAAGGGGUGAAGCCUGCGGUUCAAUUGGAGUCAACGCCGGGAACCUUACCGGGAGCGACAGCAGGAUGAAGGCCAGGCUGAAGACUUUGCUAGACGAGCUGAGAGGAGGUGCAUGGCCGUCGCCAGCUCGUGCCGUGAGGCGUCCUGUUAAGUCAGGCAACGAGCGAGACCCUCACCGUUAGUUGCCACCAUCCCCCGUAAGGGAGAUGAGCAAGUUAACGGGACUGCCGUCGCUGAGACGGAGGAAGGAGGGGGCCACGGCAGGUCAGUAUGCCCCGAAACUUCCGGGCCACACGCGGGCUGCAAUGGUAGGGACAAUGGGCUCCGACCUCGAAAGGGGGAGGCAAUCCUCAAACCCUACCACAGUUGUGAUUGAGGGCUGCAACCCGCCCUCAUGAACAUGGAAUCCCUAGUAAUCGCGUGUCACCAUCGCGCGGUGAAUACGUCCCUGCUCCUUGCACACACCGCC